rnacentral:lncRNA from 1 species
CUCUUUCCUGGCCCAGUCAGUCACCCCAAAGAAAAGCCACCUUUAUUUGGGCUUUGUGCCUCCUGCUCCUGGGUGGGAGGAAGAAGAAGGCAGAGAGCUAAAGAGCCAUGAAUAGAGAAGCGGGUGCAACGGAGGGUCUGGACAUUCUGCAGGUUCCUGGAUCCUCGGCCUGGAGCUCAGGCAGGGUAGCUCUGGGGCAGAAACAUACAACCCCAGCUGGUAACGUUCUGUCCUCUCUGGGCCCCCAGCCACUGGCUGGAGUGUGGGCUGACCUCUUCCCUUUCACAGAGGUGUGUCCAGAACCCUUGAAGAAAGCAACAGGUCAAGGGGGUAAAGCCGUGCUGGAAAGGAGGCCCUUCCUCACAGGAGACACAUCAGCCCCACCUCACCUGGAAGAAGGUCCACAGGAAAACAAGGUCCUUGAGGAAUUGCCACACUGU